rnacentral:rRNA from 1 species
GAUGAACGCUGGCGGCGUGCCUAAUACAUGCAAGUCGAGCGAACAGACGAGGAGCUUGCUCCUCUGACGUUAGCGGCGGACGGGUGAGUAACACGUGGAUAACCUACCUAUAAGACUGGGAUAACUUCGGGAAACCGGAGCUAAUACCGGAUAAUAUAUUGAACCGCAUGGUUCAAUAGUGAAAGACGGUUUUGCUGUCACUUAUAGAUGGAUCCGCGCCGCUUUAGCUAGUUGGUAAGGUAACGGCUUACCAAGGCAACGAUGCGUAGCCGACCUGAGAGGGUGAUCGGCCACACUGGAACUGAGACACGGUCCAGGCUCCUACGGGAGGCAGCAGUAGGGAAUCUUCCGCAAUGGGCGAAAGCCUGACGGAGCAACGCCGCGUGAGUGAUGAAGGUCUUCGGAUCGUAAAACUCUGUUAUUAGGGAAGAACAAAUGUGUAAGUAACUAUGCACGUCUUGACGGUACCUAAUCAGAAAGCCACGGCUAACUACGUG